rnacentral:rRNA from 1 species
GAUGAACGCUGGCGGCGUGCCUAAUACAUGCAAGUCGAGCGAAUGGAUUAAGAGCUUGCUCUUAUGAAGUUAGCGGCGGACGGGUGAGUAACACGUGGGUAACCUGCCCAUAAGACUGGGAUAACUCCGGGAAACCGGGGCUAAUACCGGAUAACAUUUUGAACCGCAUGGUUCGAAAUUGAAAGGCGGCUUCGGCUGUCGCCUAUGGAUGGACCCGGGUCGCAUUAGCUAGUUGGUGAGGUAACGGCUCACCAAGGCAACGAUGCGUAGCCGACCUGAGAGGGUGAUCGGCCACACUGGGACUGAGACACGGCCCAGACUCCUACGGGAGGCAGCAGUAGGGAAUCUUCCGCAAUGGACGAAAGUCUGACGGAGCAACGCCGCGUGAGUGAUGAAGGCUUUCGGGUCGUAAAACUCUGUUGUUAGGGAAGAACAAGUGCUAGUUGAAUAAGCUGGCACCUUGACGGUACCUAACCAGAAAGCCACGGCUAACUACGUGCCAGCAGCCGCAGUAA